rnacentral:rRNA from 1 species
CCUACGGGUGGCAGCAGUGAGGAAUAUUGGUCAAUGGGCGGAAGCCUGAACCAGCCAAGUCGCGUGAGGGAAUAAGGCCCUACGGGUCGUAAACCUCUUUUGCCGGGGAGCAAGGGCGGGGACGUGUCCCGGCCCGGAGAGUACCCGGAGAAAAAGCAUCGGCUAACUCCGUGCCAGCAGCCGCGGUAAUACGUAGGAGGCAAGCGUUAUCCGGAAUGACUGGGCGUAAAGGGUGCGUAGGUGGUUUGACAAGUUGGUAGCGUAACUCCGGGGCUCAACCUCGGCACUACUACCAAAACUGUUGGACUUGAGUGCAGGAGGGGCAAAUGGAAUUCCUAGUGUAGCGGUGGAAUGCGUAGAUAUUAGGAGGAACACCAGUGGCGAAGGCGAUUUGCUGGACUGUAACUGACACUGAGGCACGAAAGCGUGGGGAGCAAACAGGAUUAGAUACCCGAGUAGUC